AUUGAACGCUGGCGGAAGGCCUAACACAUGCAAGUCGAACGAGUGGCGGAAGGGGGAGUAAUGUCUGGGAAACUGCCUGAGGGAGGGGGAUAACUACUGGAAACGGUAGCUACUACCGAAUACCAUCAGAUGUGCCCAGAUGGGAUUAGCUGGUUGGUGGGGUAACGGCUCACCAAGGCGACGAUCCCUAGCUGGUCUGAGAUGAUGACCAGCCACACUGGAACUUGGACACGGUCCAGACCCCUACGGGAGGCAGCAUUGGGGAAUAUUGCACAAUGGGCGCAAGCCUUAUUCAGCCAUGCCGCGUGUAUGAAUAAGGCCUUCGGGUUGUAAAGUACUUGCAGCGGGGAGGCGUUACCCGCAGAAGAAGCACCGGCUAACUCCGUGCCAGCAGCCGCGGUAAUAC
rnacentral:rRNA from 1 species